ensembl:lncRNA
AUGGGGAGCAGCGCAAGUUGUAAGAGCAGGUGGUCAUUGGCUGGAGCCUGGACAAAGGACCAAGGGGCUGGGGCCCACCUGGCCUUCAGCCUAAGUGACUGCCCUGCACGUGGGCAUCUGGGGCAGGGGGUGCAACCCUGUCCUGUUGCCUUCCGGGAUGCUGGUUGUCUGCCUGCCCCUACACCCUCCCCUCACUCCACGUCCUCUCCUGGACCGUCCUCUGAGUCACUGGAUCCCGUGUGGUCUUCUACACAAGAAAAAUGCAGACUCUAUCCUGCCACGUUCCACUGUCCAUGGGAUUCUUCACGCAAGAAUACUGGAGUGGGUUGCCAUUCCCUUCUCCAAGGGAUCCUCC